UACAGAGACUGCAAGCGUUAUUCGGAUUCACUGGGCGUAAAGGGUGCGCAGGCGGCCAUGUGUGUUAGGCGUGAAAGCCCGAGGCUUAACCUCGGAAUUGCACCUAAAACUACAUGGCUAGAGCAUUGGAGAGGGUAGUGGAAUUCAUGGUGUAGCAGUGAAAUGCGUAGAUAUCAUGAGGAACACCAGUGGCGAAGGCGACUACCUGGACAAUUGCUGACGCUCAGGCACGAAAGCGUGGGGAG
rnacentral:rRNA from 1 species